AGGGUAAGCCUACCUGAACCACAGCCCUUAUUUUAAGUGUUUCUAAAAAUCCCCUAUGUGAAAAUGGAAUGGUGGAAAAACAAUUGGAACCAUUUCACUGUUUGACCGCUAGGUUUUAUGGGUAUUAUGACUCAUACUGUGGUACUCUAUAGGGCUCUGGCCAAAAUAAGUGCUGUCUUUCAGGAAUCAGUGGGAAUAACCUCACCCUCAUGGACCUGGAUAACCCCAUCAAUGACAGUGAUGUUGUUAAGGAAGUCAGACACAGAUCAGAGAGGCUGAGAGACAGACCAAGUUGGAAGAGGCUGUUCUAGAGACAGAUAUCCCAACUCUGUCACUAGANNNNNNNNNNCAUAUGAGAGCUGGCUCCCCAUGGGCAAUAUUUACAUUUUUAACAAUGCUAUGUAACUGAACAUUAUUUAAUAAUUGACAUAUUUUAAAAUUUUAAAUGAAAGGCUCAAAGGCGCUAACAUGGAGUCCUGCCUAAAAGUUGGCAGAAUUCUCUAAAUAUAUGACUCUGGAUAGGCCGAGUCAUCUCAGAGUAUUGGAACCAUAGAAUUUGAGUGAAUCUAUUCAAAUUCUAGAAUGAUUCAUUUUACUUCUAUGAUUCGAAUUCNNNNNNNNNNNNNNNGAAGGAGAGAGUGAGUUGGACGAGGCCAUUGUCAUCCCAUCUCAGUCACAGGAGGUUGAAGGAGAGAGUGAGUUGGACGAGGCCAUUGUCAUCCCAUCUCAGUCACAGGAGGAGGCCAAAGGAGAGAGUGAGUUGAAUCAGGUUGAUCUGAAGACAUCCACAUCAACUCUGACACUGGAGGUCGAAGGAGAGAGUGAGUUGAAUCAGGUUGAUCUGAAGACAUCCACAUCAACUCUGACACUGGAGGUCGAAGGAGAGAGUGAGUUGAAUCAGGUUGAUCUGAAGACAUCCACAUCAACUC
rnacentral:lncRNA from 13 species